rnacentral:rRNA from 1 species
GACGAACGCUGGCGGCGUGCUUAACACAUGCAAGUCGAACGAAAAUACCAAGCUUGCUUGGUUGAUUAGUGGCGAACGGGUGAGUAACACGUGAGUAACCUGCCCCUUACUUUCCUGGAUAACUGCUCGAAAGGGUAGCUAAUACGGGAUAUUCUGACCAGCCUGCAUGGGUUGGUUUGGAAAGGUUGUUUUUCUGGUAAGGGAUGGGCUCGCGGCCUAUCAGCUUGUUGGUGGGGUGAUGGCCUACCAAGGCUUUGACGGGUAGCCGGCCUGAGAGGGUGGACGGUCACACUGGGACUGAGAUACGGCCCAGACUCCUACGGGAGGAAGCAGUGGGGAAUAUUGCACAAUGGGCGCAAGCCUGAUGCAGCGACGCCGCGUGAGGGAUGAAGGCCUUCGGGUUGUAAACCUCUUUCGUCAGGGAACAAGGCACUGCUUUUUUGGUGGUGUUGAGGGUACCUGGAUAAGAAGCGCCGGCUAACUACGUG